GUACUGAGCUGGAUUACUGUUGCAAUAGUAAUCCUGCUCAGUACGAGAGGAAUCGCAGGUUCAGACCCCUGGUGCGUGCGCUUGGCUGAGGAGCCACUGGCGCGAGGCUACCUUCUGCGGGCUUAUGACUGAACGCCUCUAAGUCAGAAUCCCGCCUAGACGUAGCGAUAAGGGAACGUGAGCUGGGUUUAGACCGUCGUGAAGGGAAA